CUCACUAUGGUUCAGUGGUAGAACACCCCGUCCUAACUUAGGCGAAAGAUGGGGAGGUCGGGGGUUCGAUUCCUUCCGGUGGUA